GCUCAAGAAACGUUAAAGGUAUUGGAGGGGCCCGCACAAGCGGAGGAGCAUGUGGUUUAAUUCGAUGAUACGCGAGGAACCUUACCUGGGCUCGAACGUAAGAUGACUGUAGGUGAAAGCUUACAUCUCUUCGGAGCAUUUUACGAGGUGCUGCAUGGUUGUCGUCAGCUCGUGCCGUGAGGUGUCGGGUUAAGUCCCAUAACGAGCGCAACCCUACCUUUAGUUGCCAUCAGGUAAUGCUGGGGACUCUAAAGGAACUGCCUACGCAAGUAGUGAGGAAGGCGGGGAUGACGUCAAAUCAGCACGGCCCUUACGUCCAGGGCUACACACGUGCUACAAUGGCCGAUACAGAGGGCAGCUACCUGGUGACAGGAUGCAAAUCUCCAAAGUCGGUCUCAGUUCGGAUCGGAGUCUGCAACCCGACUCCGUGAAGUUGGAUUCGCUAGUAAUCGCGCAUCAGCCAUGGCGCGGUGAAUACGUUCCCGGGCCUU
rnacentral:rRNA from 1 species